UCAGACUGCAAGAAAAACUUCACAAGCAGCAUUCUGUGGAAUGUGAAAUCCACAAGGUGCAAAGAAAUGAGAAAUGAAGCCAACCGUUUUGACUUUGCCUUCAAAACGGCUAUCAAAGACAGCAAGGUGGACAUCAAAAAGGCAGAAUUUCAGUGCUACGAUGAGAAUUUCCAACCAUCAAGUGUACGCAAGUUGUAUUAUUCUUUUAAAGACUUUUCUAACAUCCAACAUGAUUGGAUAUGGGAUUUGUCAAAAAGUGCAACAACAUUAAUUUCCAAACAAAACAGAAUUAAUACAAACGUUCUCAGAUUAUGUGUCUGAGUUUAUUGUUUUCAAGGGAAGAUGUUUAAUUAAAUUAUGGGAUCUAAGACUAAUUCUUGCUUCAUAUGAUUUACAUUAGCUCUAAAGUCAUACAGUGCAACAUUACAUUUCUCUCAACCUUUUAGCAUAUACAUACAUGUAACGUUUUAACUAAAUCAUCAGACAAGAAGUCAAGUCAGGGUCUUAUUUUGAAGAGCAUUCCAUUCACUCUAACACAUACCUGGGAAUGCACUUCAUUUGGGAAUGCACUUCAACUUUGCAUAUUCAGAUCAUAAUGUUACAAAUUUCUUUGUGGAAGACUGGACUCAAUAAUCCCCUUCUCCUAAAACUUCAAUAUUCCAGUACUUUGUUUUCUUUCAGCUUUUUUGGUUUUGUACCUCAUUUUCCUGCUCACACAGCACUGCUCAUACAGUAGAAAAUUUUAUAAUGACCUCUAUUUGUUUUUUGUUACCUCAGAGUUACAAGAAACUACUGAAGAAGCAGAAUAUUGACCUCAUACCUUUGAAGUUUGAUGACCCAGUGAAGACAGCAGAGCUUAUUAAUAAAGAGGUGAAAGAGAGGACAAAGGGGGCAAUUGAACAACUCCCCGCAAUAUUGAAGAGAGUUUUUUUAUCACUGUUGCUGGAGUUUACAUGAAGACAGCCUGGGAUUUUCCACUACGAGAUUCAUCGUU